CAUUAAUCUUUAUUUAUUUAUUUUCUUGGUGUUGUAUUUAUUUAAGUAAAAUAAUUUUAGAUAUUUGAGUUUUAGUAUUUUAUAAAGAAAAAAUGAGUUGUAAUUAUAGUUUAUUAGUAUUGUAAAAGAAUAUUGAAAUAUUUUGAAAAAUUUUUAAUUAAAAAGAAGAUUUAGUUUAUUGUACCUUGUGUAUCAGGGUUUAUUAAAUAUAUUCUAUGAAUAAUAGUUUUCUCGAAUUUAAAGGAGUUAAUAAAUUAUGAAAUUUAAUGUGAAAAAAUUAUUUUUAAUGGUUUAUUGGAAAUGAAAAGUUAUUCGUUUUUGAAGUUAUCUAGUUUUUGAAGAAAUAAAUUUAAUUUACUGGAGUGUGUAAUUGUUUAAAAUUUAAUAUAUUAUGAAAGUUUUGGUAAUAGUUUACGGGAUAAGCUGUAAAUUAAAUGAUUAAAAUAAAUUGAAUUAUAAUUAAAUAUAUGCUUAGAAUUAGCAAUUAUUAGUAAGGGUGUUAUAGCUUAUUUUUUAAAUAAAUUAUUUAGUUUAUUGUUUAAGGUUUUUAUUCAAAUGUUAGUUUAAAUUUUAAAAAUUAGGAAAUUAUGAUGAAAUUAGUAUAAAUUAAUUGUAAAAAUAUAAGUUAGGGUAAGAUUAAUUUAAGGAACUCGGCAAAUUUAUGAUUAUUCGCCUGUUUAACAAAAACAUGUCUUUUUGGAUUUAAUUUAAAGUCUGACCUGCCCACUGAAUUUAUUUAAAUGGCCGCAGUAUUCUAACUGUGCAAAGGUAGCAUAAUCAUUAGUCUUUUAAUUGAAGGCUUGUAUGAAUGGUUGGACGAGAUAAUAACUGUCUCAAUUUAAUUUUUGGAAUUUUAUUUUUUAGUAAAAAAGCUGAAAUAUGAUUGGAAGACGAGAAGACCCUAUAGAUCUUUAUAUAUUUUUUUAUUAAAUUUGUAAAGGAUAUAUUUGAUUUAAUAAAUAAAUGUAUUUUAUUGGGGUGAUAGUAAGAUUUUAUAAACUCUUAUAAUUAUAAAACAUAAAUAAAUGAUUGAAUGAUCCAUUAUUAAUGAUUAUUAAAAUAAGUUACCUUAGGGAUAACAGCGUAAUUUUUUUAAAGAGUUCAUAUCGAUAGAAAAGAUUGCGACCUCGAUGUUGGAUUAAGAGAUAAUAUUAGGUGUAGAAGUUUAAUAUAUAAAGUCUGUUCGACUUUUUGACUCUUACAUGAUCUGAGUUCAAACCGGUGUAAGCCAGGUUGGUUUCUAUCUUCAGUUAAUAGGGAUAUUUUAGUACGAAAGGACCAAAUAUCUGAAAUAAUUUUUGUUAAAUUGAAUAUUAAUAAUU
rnacentral:rRNA from 1 species